rnacentral:rRNA from 1 species
GGGGAGUGCGCAUGCUAUACAUGCAGUCGAGCGGACAGAAGGGAGCUUGCUCCCGGAUGUUAGCGGCGGACGGGUGAGUAACACGUGGGUAACCUGCCUGUAAGACUGGGAUAACUCCGGGAAACCGGAGCUAAUACCGGAUAGUUCCUUGAACCGCAUGGUUCAAGGAUGAAAGACGGUUUCGGCUGUCACUUACAGAUGGACCCGCGGCGCAUUAGCUAGUUGGUGGGGUAAUGGCUCACCAAGGCGACGAUGCGUAGCCGACCUGAGAGGGUGAUCGGCCACACUGGGACUGAGACACGGCCCAGACUCCUACGGGAGGCAGCAGUAGGGAAUCUUCCGCAAUGGACGAAAGUCUGACGGAGCAACGCCGCGUGAGUGAUGAAGGUUUUCGGAUCGUAAAGCUCUGUUGUUAGGGAAGAACAAGUGCGAGAGUAACUGCUCGCACCUUGACGGUACCUAACCAGAAAGCCACGGCUAACUACGUGCCAGCAGCCGCGGUAAUACGUAGGUGGCAAGCGUUGUCCGGAAUUAUUGGGCGUAAAGGGCUCGCAGGCGGUUUCUUAAGUCUGAUGUGAAAGCCCCCGGCUCAACCGGGGAGGGUCAUUGGAAACUGGGAAACUUGAGUGCAGAAGAGGAGAGUGGAAUUCCACGUGUAGCGGUGAAAUGCGUAGAGAUGUGGAGGAACACCAGUGGCGAAGGCGACUCUCUGGUCUGUAACUGACGCUGAGGAGCGAAAGCGUGGGGAGCGAACAGGAUUAGAUACCCUGGUAGUCCACGCCGUAAACGAUGAGUGCUAAGUGUUAGGGGGUUUCCGCCCCUUAGUGCUGCAGCUAACGCAUUAAGCACUCCGCCUGGGGAGUACGGUCGCAAGACUGAAACUCAAAGGAAUUGACGGGGGCCCGCACAAGCGGUGGAGCAUGUGGUUUAAUUCGAAGCAACGCGAAGAACCUUACCAGGUCUUGACAUCCUCUGACAACCCUAGAAAUAGGGCUUUCCCUUCAGGGACAGAGUGACAGGUGGUGCAUGGUUGUCCUCAGCUCGUGUCCUGAGAUGUUGGGUAAGUCCCCCACUCACCGCACCCUUGAUCUUACUUGCAUCAUUCUGGUGGGCCCUCAAGGGGGCACGCCGGG